rnacentral:lncRNA from 1 species
UCGUUGAUUCUGCAGUCAUCGACCACCGUGGGAAACGCAGCAGUGUCGGAGAAGACGCCGGUUUCUGAUUCCCGCAGACCAGCGAUUGACUUGUUUGAACCAGCAAGCUGCCACCCAUUGCUCUCGUAUCUAUCUCGCUUGGUGACUAAGGGUUUCGUGACAUUUGAUUCAAGCUUAGGAUUUACUAUAGUCAUCGCUAAUUGCUUAAGAUGUGAUACCCGAGCAUAUCCACCUAUGGGGACAUAGGGCGUCAUCAUAGGCACAGUUGACGUGCACCAUUCGUGGCGGUGCGAAAGUCCCACGGCGUCUCUAUGUUGUAUUGUGUGCUAAGUGAUUGCACUUAUUGAUUAUUAAGAGGUGUAUGGAUCGAUCCUAGGAGUGUAAGUGUAAGUGUAAGUGUUAGUGGUAGUGGGAUAGGUGUGAGUGCCCACAUCCCCUCUACAUAAUGGUGCAUUGGAACUGCAGCUAAUGUACAAAAUAUUAGUGUUUAUUGUUAGUGGCUCACAUGGUGUAUUGCUUCUAUCAUUUAUGUGUUAG